rnacentral:rRNA from 1 species
CACGUAGGCGGUUUUUCAAGUCAUAUGUGAAAACUUCAGGCUUAACUUGAUGAUUGCAUAUGAUACUGGAUUACUUGAGUACAGCAGAGGAAAGUGGAAUUCCUGGUGUAGCGGUGAUAUGUGCAGAUAUCAGGAAGAACACCAGUGGCGAAGGCGGCUUUCUGGGCUGUCACUGACGCUGAGGUGCGAAAGCUAGGGGGAGCGAACA